AUUGAACGCUGGCGGCAUGCCUUACACAUGCAAGUCGAACGGCAGCGGGGGAGAAGCUUGCUUUUCCUGCCGGCGAGUGGCGAACGGGUGAGUAAUACAUCGGAACGUGCCCUGUAGUGGGGGAUAACUAGUCGAAAGAUUAGCUAAUACCGCAUACGACCUGAGGGUGAAAGUGGGGGACCGCAAGGCCUCAUGCUAUAGGAGCGGCCGAUGUCGGAUUAGCUAGUUGGUGGGGUAAAGGCCUACCAAGGCGACGAUCAGUAGCUGGUCUGGGCGGACAAUCAGCGAAACCAGGACUGAGAGACGUCCGAGACUCCUACGGGAGGCAGCAGUGGGGAAUUUUGGACAAUGGGCGAAAGCCUGAUCCCGCCAUGCCGCGUGUGUGAAGAAGGCCUUCGGGUUGUAAAGCACUUUUGUCCGGAAAGAAAUGGCUCUGGUUAAUACCUGGGGUCGAUGACGGUACCGGAAGAAUAAGGACCGGCUAACUACGUGCCAGCCGCCGCCGUAAUAC
rnacentral:rRNA from 1 species